UACGUAGGGUGCAAGCGUUAUCCGGAAUUAUUGGGCGUAAAGAGCUCGUAGGCGGUUUGUCGCGUCUGCUGUGAAAACUGGAGGCUCAACCUCCAGCCUGCAGUGGGUACGGGCAAACUAGAGUGCGGUAGGGGAGAUUGGAAUUCCUGGUGUAGCGGUGGAAUGCGCAGAUAUCAGGAGGAACACCGAUGGCGAAGGCAGAUCUCUGGGCCGUAACUGACGCUGAGGAGCGAAAGCAUGGGGAGCGAACGGG
rnacentral:rRNA from 1 species